CGAGCGCCGGCCCCAGGAUGACAAUCACAUCCCAAGCGCAACGAUUGCUUCCAACUUUCCUCCUCUGCUAACUCCGGGCGAGCGGCGGUCUGGACCCCUGGUAGCGGGUCAGGCAGGUCGGCCGCACAAAGGGAAAAAGAGGCCCUGGGCUGUGCUGGGGCGAACACUCCGCGCCCUCCACUCCACCGCAGACUGCGAAGUUCCCGGACGUCUUGUUCUCCGGGGAGCUGGGCUCCGAAGUGGUUCGUCACCCACUCCCCACUGGCUUCUCCCUCCAGCCAGGGGUCCCCAGAGUGAGCUGGAAACCCGGAAUUAGGAUCCCAGGGAGAGCCGAUGGAUGCGCCCAGGGCGCGGGGAGGCCAGGAGGAUGGCCCCAGUGCGCCAGCCACAGCAGCAGGUGGGCGAGGGCCAGGCCUAGGCUCUGGCGUCCGAACGUCUCGGCCUGGGCCUUCUUUCCACCUCCCCCUGCCAGACCGCGAGAGAAGAGACUGCAGGGACUCGGGAUGGAGGGGUGACCUUUCUCUAGAGGGGAAGGCGGCGGACAUGGAGUGCCUGGCAGGGAAGACUACACCGGACUAGGCCUCCCAGCCGCCCCCAAUACCACGCUGGUGUAGAGCAGCGUUUCUCCUGCUGGCCAGGUCUGGGGACCCGGGGUGCGGGAUCUCGUCCCUUUUGUUCCACUAAAUCGCCUUACCCCUCACUCGUACCCGCCCCAGUUCCACUGCAAACACUCGACAGAGCAGUGCCCAACCCAACCGCUGUUUGUUCAGCGAAGCUCUGGCAAGGCAAACACACACCACUGAGUCACAGGCUUGCCCAUCACAGCCACACAGUGAGAAUAGAAAACAGACCCUCUGGCCGCGUCUGCACCUCCCGCCGCCGCGGGUCACCGGCUCACUGGAGCUCGGGACAGACAGGGGCGCUGGUGAACCGGGAGCGGGCCGGCUGCUGGGGCUCGGCGCUGCAGCGCCACACACUCGGCACUUUGUGGCCUUUUACAGCGAGGCCAGAGCAUAACUCUACACAAAGUUUCUCGCAACGAUUUUCACGCGCGGGACACUUUAUUUGCUGAGCUCCGGCCUUGGCGCUCAGGAACCCACUGGGCACACGGACACCCACUCGGCAGCGCGCCUUCACGCACGCGCGCUACUGCGCUCCUCACUGUCCGCUCACGAGGCAGGUUCCGCCCCAAAGAGCUCUGACCCCUGCGGACUACAUUGCCCGCCAGCCUCUCGGCCAGCCUCGCCCUUCCCUUCCACUGCCUUCGCCUCUGAUUGGACAGUGGUUUCCGUUGCCCCCGCCUCCUAGUGACGCAGCCCGCUCUGCUUAGAGUCCGGGCGCCGAGGGGGCGUGGCUGGGAGGGGCUUGGGCUGCGCUAUUGUCAUGGAGACGAGAAGCCGGCGGCUGAGGCGAAGCGGAGCUGCUAGCUAGAGGCCUGCGAGCCCGCGUGGAGCGAGCGAGGCGGAGCGGCCCUCCAGGCGCGAGUCUCGGGGAGCGCGGGCCGGUGCCGGGCGGCCUCCAUGGCCUUCCCUCCUGGGCUCCGGAUAGGCCCGGGUGGCAGAGGGAGCCUCCCCGCCCUGCCGCGCGGAUCCCCGCCUCCCGCGGCCGCGCCGCCCCCGGCUCCGCCCGCCGUAGCCGGGCGCUAACGGUCCGGGACUCGCGCCUGCCACGAGGGAGCGUCCGCGACCCGCGCGCAGAGCGAGCACGGAGCAGACGGCGUGGAUACGGCCGGGCCGGCGCGUGGACCGCUAGAGCGUGGGACCCUCCGCGUGGGUGUCGCGGUCCGCCGGUGGGCGCGCGUGGGCGUGUCCCCUCCGUGCGCGCCGCCCGCUGCCUGGGUCUCGGCUCUCGUCCAGGACCGCGACUUCUGAAAGCGAGCCAUGGAGAUUCAGCGGUUGGUGUGUGAGAUUUCCCGAGACCUGUUUCAUUCUAGAUGCAAAGGAUAUAGAGAAUGAAGUGCCGCAGUGAUUUCGGCGAACUUUGGAUGGUGCUAUUUAUGGACUAUGCUCCUGGAUUGAGAGUGCAGACAGGAGAAAUGUCAAAAGAAACAGGAACCCACAAGAUGAUGCAUUAUUAGAAACCCAAAAUUUGAGAGAGACACUAGUACUGAUGAAGGUGACGAAGCAGCCCCACAGAAAGAGACCGAUGUGUUCUGAAGGAGCUUCAUGUGACUUGGAGGAGAGCAGCUAUAAAGGGGGAUGCAAGCUGGAGCACCAUUGCAGAUGAGGAAACUGAGGCCCAGGAAGGUGAAGUGACUUCUUCCCAAGCAUCAGUGUGUUGUCUCAGACUGAAUUUCUGCUGUGCUUUACGUUAUGUGAGAGUGAUUGAGGACUCUGAAGCCCCAUGAGAUGAGCCCUCACCUGCAGAGGACACUGGCAAGAUCAGAGAUGGGACCAGAGGACCCGUGCUGGCCUGUCUCGCUCAAGGAGGACCAAGCAGGGAACAGGACCAGAGAGAGGCAGGAGAUGCUGUUUGUUCCUGAGAGGAUGAGGGAGAAGGAGUGACAGAAAAUUGUCUAACACUCCAGAUUAAAACUUCAAGACAAAACAGAGGACACAAAGAGUUGAUCCGUUCCACAGAUGGUGAGCAUGGGACCAGGAGAGAGUCAAGAACAUGAGGAUUUUGGAUAAAACAACUCAUCCUUGAAGUUGUCACAGAGAGUCUUCAGUGGCUUGUCUCGUCAAGUCUUCAGAACAUGAAGAAUUUAAACUGUCCUCCUGUCUGAGCUGGAAGACCAGUAAGCCUAAGCAUCAAGAGACCGGCCCCAAGUCAUACACCACUGUUAGCUGUUGACAUUCCUUGAUGGGCCUAGAUCCUCUGCUUUCAAGGCCAGUGGGGUAUCUUUACUACUCCUAAGUACGCAUUAGAGUGAUUAGUUUCACUUUCAGUGCUUCCUCCCCAAGUCACAGUGCUUCUGCCGAGACUCCUAAUUCAGUGAAACCUGUUUCGGGGAUCAUCUCUGCUAGACAGACAGCUGCUGGGAAGGCAUUGGCUUUUCUGGCAUGGAUUUCAGAUUAUGGCCAAUCAAGACCCACAGCCUGAGGAACACCUGUCAGCCUCAACUAGAGACGGCCUCUUAGCUGCAUUUCA